rnacentral:rRNA from 1 species
UGGUGAACAUAGCAAGCGUGAACCACCCGAUCCCAUCCCGAACUCGGAAGUGAAACCGCUUAGCGCCGAUGAUAGUGUGGCAGGUUGCCAUGUGAAAGUAGGUCAUCGCC